UAAGUGUAUCAUUGCAUUGAUAGGCAAGGAAGGAAUAGAGUACAGGAUGGUGCCGAGGCCUCGUACACAUGAAUGGCGAGGCCGAGGAACCCUAUUGAGCAGAAGACAUAAGGGGGUUGCUCGGUCUUCAAAACUAGAGAUUCAGGUUACACGAAUGCAUGCGGUCGUUCCUCGAACUUCGGCUGCGGCCCAAGAACGAGCUUCGUCUUUUAUUCCGACGAUGAGGGCGGUGGUAGAGGGUUGAUCUGGUCGAAGAUGACGGCGUUUCGAUGCCACCAGAGGGACCAUACUACUAAUGAGAUGUACUAAUGAUGCAACAUGCCAAUACAUACCAAACAUACAUGCAACCUUCGAGAAAACCAAUUUGGUGUACACAUUGCUUCUAGCAAUGGCAGGCUGAAGAACAUCGAUGACUACCACACACACACAUGACACUCCCUUGUGAUUGUG
rnacentral:lncRNA from 1 species